UGCAAGUUAUGCGGUGACAUUGCGUAUCUUGCUACAAGAUGACGAUCGGCGGACGGGUGAGUAAUGCUUGGGAACAUGCCUUGAUGUGGGGGACAACCAUUGGAAACUAUGGCUAAUACCGCAACUAGUCUACGGACCAAAGGGGGCUUCGGCUCUCGCCUUUAGAUUGGCCCAAGUGGGAUUAGCUAGUUGGUGAGGUAAAGGCUCACCAAGGCGACGAUCCCUAUCUGGUUUGAGAGGAUGAUCAGCCACACUGGAACUGAGACACGGUCCAGACUCAUACGGGAGGCAGCAGUGGGGAAUAUUGCACAAUGGGCGCAAGCCUGAUGCAGCCAUGCCGCGUGUGUGAAGAAGGCCUUCGGGUUGUAAAGCACUUUCAGUCAGGAGGAAAGGUUAGUAGUUAAUACCUGCUAGCUGUGACGUUACUGACAGAAGAAGCACCGGCUAACUCCGUGCCAUCAGCCGCGGUAAUACGGAGGGUGCGAGCGUUAAUCGGAAUUACUGGGCGUAAAGCGUACGCACGCGGGUUGUUAUGCGAGAUGUGAAAUCCCCGGGCUUACCUGGGGAACUGCAUUUCGAACUGGCAACUUAAAGUGUGAUAGAGGGUGGUAGAAUUUCAGGUUUAUCGGUUAACAUGCGUAUACAUCCUUAGUGAAUACCGAUGGGCGAAGGCGGUCGUCCUGGGUCAUCACUGACCCUCCAUGUAGGAAAGGGUGGGGAGGCAGUCAGGAGUAAGUUGCCGUGCUCGUCCCCGCCGUUAACU
rnacentral:rRNA from 1 species